UACGGAGGGUGCAAGCGUUAUCCGGAUUCACUGGGUUUAAAGGGUGUGUAGGUGGGCUGUUAAGUCAGUGGUGAAAUCUCCGGGCUCAACCCGGAAACUGCCAUUGAUACUAUCAGUCUUGAAUAUUGUUGAGGUGGGCGGAAUAUGUCAUGUAGCGGUGAAAUGCAUAGAGAUGACAUAGAACACCGAUUGCGAAGGCAGCUCACUAAACAUGUAUUGACGCUGAGGCACGAAAGCGUGGGGAUCAAACAGG
rnacentral:rRNA from 1 species